rnacentral:rRNA from 1 species
UUUUCGCAAUGCCCGAAAGGGUGACGAAGCGACGCCGCGUGGGUGAGGAAGGCCUUCGGGUUGUAAAGCCCUGUCAGGAGUUAAGAAAUGUAGAUUCGCUAAUAUCGGGUCUAUUUGACAAAGGCUCCAAAGGAAGCCACGGCUAACUCUGUGCCAGCAGCCGCGGUAAUACAGAGGUGGCAAGCGUUGUUCGGAAUUAUUGGGCGUAAAGAGCACGUAGGUGGAUUUGUAAGUCAGAUGUGAAAGCCUUCUGUUCAACGGAAGAAUUGCAUCUGAAACUACAAACCUUGAGUGUAGGAGGGGAGAAUGGAACUUCUGGUGGAGCGGUGAAAUGCGUAGAUAUCAGAAGGAACGCCGGCGGCGAAAGCGGUUCUCUGGCCUAUUACUGACACUCAGUGUGCGAAAGCUAAGGGAGCAAACGGGAUUAGAUACCCCGGUAGUCCUAGCCGUAAACGAUGGGCACUAAGUAGAGGGGUUUUAA